AGAAAUGUCAGUCAUGCCUUCAUUUCUAUGCUCAAUAACCACACCAGUUGGUGAGUUUUCCGACUUUUAUUGAUCAUUUUUAUUGUUUGCCACUCAUUUAUCGAAUGUUUUAUACUUCCUGUCAACACGAAUUUCCUGUUCCCAAUAAAACUUUACCCUGUUGUAACGACGAUUUUUGACACUUGUAUUUAAAAGCCCCCCUCCUUUUUUUUUUUUAUCCCAGUCACGUUUCUGGGAAGUUAGGCCCGAGUCACGCAUUCGUCACGUUCUGAAUGUUAGAAAACACGAAUGUAGUGUCAAUCUCGUUUGCAUUUUAUCUUAUUUUUAUUUUUUCGGCCCGAUGACUCACCACUUUUAUAUCUCAUGUUUGGUAAAACCAAUUAACAGUUUCCGGCCGCCAUACUUCUCCCGACUAUUAUCGCCACUAAUUUGUGUUUAUAGCUAGUUCUGUGAUAAUACAAGCUCACGAUUCGCGAAGAAAAAAAAAAAAAAAACCGCAUUUCUGGAGUAUAAUGCCAGCAGAGACUCGAGGCACCUUAAAAAUAGGGACACGCAUUUUUUUCCCCUUAAUUCCGGUCCUUUGCAUGCUAGGGAAUACAGAAAGAGCUCGCCAUCCAAUAGGGAAGAUUUUAUUUUAUUUUUUGCUGUUUCUUUUUUUUUUUCCGCUCAUUCUUAGCAUGCUUUCCAUCGCAGCUGUUACAUCGCAACAGCAGGAUCCCCCCUCAGAAACGUCCUUGGACUGGCGAAGCAGCCACACGCUCUCCUUGGAGUUAGGAAUUUCGGUUGUGGCCCCCUGGUAAGAUUAAACCCAGAGAUGCUGAUAAUGGGUGCAAGAAAUCUAUGAAAGAAAAUUUCUGAUAUGUAUAUACAGCAUAUAUAUAUAUAUAUACACACAUACACACACACCACUUCCUCACUCAGUAUCUUUAGUAAAAUAUACCGGAUUCUUUCCUGUAGAAAAUUGGAACUGCGACCUUCAGAAAUACUGUAUAGAGAUAUCGUUACGGCUGCGUAGACUCGGAUGCAACUACGCCCAACUAGGACAUAUCAAUCGUAAACAAAUAUGACAUUUAUGAGUUUGUACAAAGUCCAAGUUGGGUGUUGUUUGUCGAGUGUCUUUUUAUUUUAAAAGUAUUUUUCCCAGUACGCCAUUUUUAAACGUCUCUUUAAUUAAUAUCCGACGUGAAACCAGCAGUAGAAAACCACUCUCUGAUUUGCUUAAUAUCCCUUAAUGGAUAUAUAUAUAUAUAUAUAUUAAAAAUGUGUGGUUAAUGAAAUAAACGUGAAAUGAUUCCAUUAGAGUUUUCCUUAAUGGUGUUUCUUUAGAAUUUCCUCGACAGAAUUUUACUUAACAACUUCUGUCCAUUAAUAAUGUAUUUUUACUUUUUUUUUUUCUAACAUCAGUAUGAAUUAAUUUGCAUUAAUGCAAACUCUCUUAGCUUUAUGGAACGGUGUAAAGUUUGAGAAAAAUAUGUUAUCGAAAUAAACUGUUGAUCUUUGGCUCCUUUCGAUACCGUCCUAUGCGAUAGAUCAGAGAUUAAAGUCUUGCACGUAGAUGGAUGCAACAAAAACUCGUUCUAAAGAUUCUUCAUGUUCUCGAUGAAAGACCGAAAAUAUCGCAUUUGUUCCGAACUAUGGUCAUGCUAAAAAUAUAACGAGAUGGGAUAUUUUUGGAAGUAUUUUCAAGGUAAAUAGUGUACAAGGCAAUUUUAAAAAUUCCGUUCUUUCGAUGUAAGCGUAAACGCAUACCAAAUUUGGUAAAGAGGCACAAUCUUCAUCGAAUUUUGCAUCUUAUUUAUUUAUUUUUUUAAUUCUUCUCUCUUUAGAUUUUACUCCCCCAACGUUUUUAAAUAUCUUAGAAAGGU
rnacentral:lncRNA from 1 species